CUCUCUCUCCUUUCUCCCGCAUUUUCUCUCUCUCCUCGGCACUCUCUGCAACUCCGGCCACCUGGGGACGAACGAGUGGCACCGUUGGACUCCUCUACUCCUACCCAACCUCCCCACGGCGGUAACUCACGGCGGCUUGGCCGGAAAACGAAGCAUCGGGUCCUUGAAGUUUCACUGUAGCAAAUUGGUCAACGCCGGUUUCUCCCGAUUCCGGCCACCUCCGGCGACGAACCAUAAUCAUUUGGAAGCGGCUUGCGAUGUAGAUGAUGCUCCCCAAAUAUUUUGCAGCGAUUUGAAGCGUGGAGGAAGAAUUGAAGGGCAAUGUUGCGAGCUACGGCUAGAUGACGGGACUCGUUUGCGUGGUCGUCAACUAGUACUUUUGCAGGCGCUAUUAGUUGAGGUCGGGCGUACAUGGAUCGAGGCAUAGUUGACGAAUAGCUUCCGCGCUUCUUUGUUUGGCUCUGAUCUAUUGUGGGUUACUAUUUUGGGUAGUCCUCUUUAGGGGUGACUCGACCAGUUCUCGGUAGAGUUAUCUCUAAGGUGGGCCCCGCAGGGCCACCUCGGAUUUCAGGGUGAAAUUCGGGGCGGGUCCUGUCAUAUAUAGUGUGGUAUCGUAUUGGGUUAUAAUACAUUUUAUAAUAAUCGAU